GGUUAAGCGACUAAGCGUACACGGUGGAUGCCCUGGCAGUCAGAGGCGAUGAAGGGCGUGCUAAUCUGCGAUAAGCGCCGGUAAGGUGAUAUGAACCGUUAUAACCGGCGAUACCCGAAUGGGGAAACCCAGUGUGACUCGUCACACUAUCAUUAACUGAAUCCAUAGGUUAAUGAGGCGAACCGGGGGAACUGAAACAUCUAAGUACCCCGAGGAAAAGAAAUCAACCGAGAUUCCCCCAGUAGCGGCGAGCGAACGGGGAGGAGCCCAGAGCCUGAAUCAGCAUGUGUGUUAGUGGAAGCGUCUGGAAAGGCGCGCGAUACAGGGUGACAGCCCCGUACACAAAAGCGCAUGUGCUGUGAGCUCGAUGAGUAGGGCGGGACACGUGGUAUCCUGUCUGAAUAUGGGGGGACCAUCCUCCAAGGCUAAAUACUCCUGACUGACCGAUAGUGAACCAGUACCGUGAGGGAAAGGCGAAAAGAACCCCGGCGAGGGGAGUGAAAAAGAACCUGAAACCGUGUACGUACAAGCAGUGGGAGCA
rnacentral:rRNA from 19 species